UGAUCGUCUUCCUGACUCUCUGCUGCUUCUGAUUUUCAAUAAGAUCGGAGACGUGAAGGCUCUUGGACGUUGCUGUGCAGUUUCUCGCAGAUUCCACUCGAUCGUGUCUCAGGUUGAUAACGUUGUUGUGCGAGUUGAUUGUGUGAUAUCUGAUGAUGAUUUCUCGUCCACCGCUUCCUCCUCAGAUAAGUCUCGCAGCGCCUUUUCCAAUUUGUUUCGUAUGGUUCUUGGAGGCAUUGUUAAGCCCCUUCAAGCGUUGGGUCAGUUCUUGGGCCCUAAACGUGUUACUUCCUCUGGGUUGGGUUCUGGUUCGUCGUCUUUGUCGACUUCUUCGCUUGCGGUUGGGAGGGAAGAGGACGGAGAGAGUGGUCAAAGUGGUGUGACUCAUCACUCGCCUACUCAAGUUUUAAAGAAUUUUAAUGAGAUACGGUUCCUUAGGAUCGAGCUUCCUAGUGGCGAAUUGGGUAUUGAUGAUGGAAUCUUGUUGAAAUGGCGAGCUGAUUUUGGGUCAACUUUGGAUAAUUGUGUGAUCUUGGGUGCUGCAUCGGUGACUCAUGCUGGAUCCUUCAAGCACAUUCAAGAGAGUGGCACUGAUGGGUUCUGCUCUGCCAAUGGUGCAGCAGCUGACGACAGCGGGAGCAUACCCGAAUCAUUUUAUACAAAUGGAGGGCUAAAACUGAGAGUAGUUUGGACAAUUAGCUCCUUGAUUGCGGCUUCAGCUAGACAUUAUUUAUUGCAGCCGAUAAUUGCGGAGCAUAAAACUCUGGAUAAUUUGGUUCUGACUGAUGCAGAUGGACAAGGCAUGUUGUGUAUGAACAAGGAUCAGCUUGAGGAGUUGAGAGUGAAGCCGUUAUCGGCUUCAACUGCAUCAAAGAGAACUCUUGUUCCAGCCCUGAAUAUGAGGCUUUGGUAUGCGCCUCACUUGGAAUUGCCCGGUGGGAUUAUUCUGAAGGGGGCAACACUUGUUGCGAUUCGUCCGAGCGAGCAGUCAAUGACAAAGAAAGAGGUAUCUGAUGGGUCAUGGCUUUCAAACGCUUUUGAGGAACCUUAUGGAAUCGCAGCAAAGAUACUGGUGAAAAGGCGAACUUACUGUCUUGAGAUGAAUUCUUUCUGAUAACUUCAACUGAAUCCGAGAUAAAGAGAAGAUUGGUAGUGGGGGGAGUGCAUGUUUUUGGAAGUAGGAUGCUGGAAACACCUUGUUUCAUGCAUCACCAAAUUAUCAUGUCCGAGGAAGCCUAGUUACAAUCAAAUUGCAGCAUGCUCAGCUACCCAUGGUUGAUUUUAGCUUGAAGAAUGGGCGAAUUCUGCUUGAAGAAGUGUGUUUGUAGGUUGUAGCAUUCUUGGAAAUCACUCGAACGUCUGAUAAGAUGUCAGAGAAAGAACUUUUGAGGAAAUUGGGCUUUUCUUGGGAAUGCUUCUGGGGCUCUGAAAGAGUGGAUUUAUCUGCUAUUCUAAAUGAAUUAAUGAUUGGUUUGAACCAUUUAAAUUUGAGAAUUUAGGUCAAUCUGGUUAUAAUUAAUAGUUAAGUGUGGACUUUGUGGAGCACAUGGACAGUCUUCAGAUGUGGAAAAUUUGGAAGGGCACUGCGGAGUUUAGAAUGGUUUAUUGCAGAGUGACUAUCUUUUUCUUUAUCAAGGAAACAGCAUAUACCCCGUUAGUUUUUCCUAUUUUAAUUUAUCUUCUUUCUUUCUGUGAGGUGAUAUAUAUCUUAAUCAUUUGAGGUAUAGGUGUAUUCCUUCUAUUUAUUGUUUGUCGUGCUAGUGUCAUAUGGGUCAAAAUCAUAUUUAUAAAUGCAAAUUCGUAGUGUGAACAA